rnacentral:rRNA from 1 species
CCUACGGGAGGCAGCAGUGAGGAAUAUUGGUCAAUGGACGAGAGUCUGAACCAGCCAAGUAGCGUGAAGGAUGACUGCCCUAUGGGUUGUAAACUUCUUUUAUCUGGGAAUAAAAUGUUCCACGUGUGGGAUUUUGUAUGUACCAUAUGAAUAAGGAUCGGCUAACUCCGUGCCAGCAGCCGCGGUAAUACGGAGGAUCCGAGCGUUAUCCGGAUUUAUUGGGUUUAAAGGGUGCGUAGGGGGAUUGUUAAGUCAGUUGUGAAAGGUUGCGGCUCAACCGUAAAAUUGCAGUUGAAACUGGCAGUCUUGAGUAGAGUAGAGGUGGGCGGAAUGCGGGGUGUAGCGGUGAAAUGCUUAGAUAUCACGAAGAACUCCGAUUGCGAAGGCAGUUCACUGGACGGCAACUGACACUGAGGCUCGAAAGUGUGGGUAUCAAACAGGAUUAGAUACCCUAGUAGUC